AUGGCCAUGGAGAGGUUCUUCACGGCGCUCGUCUUCCCCGAGGCGCUGCUGGACGGCUACGGCACGUCGGUGCUCAGCGCCGGCGCGGUCAACAGGCUGGUCUCAGGCGGCGGCAGCGCGACGAAGCCGGCGGUGACUAGCAAGGCGGACGCCGAGAAGUUGCAGGGAAAUUCGACAGUGCAAAGGCGCGCUGUGUUCGAGCUCGCGUUCGACGGGCUCAAUUGCUUCGACACCAUUGUCAUGCACUGA
rnacentral:rRNA from 1 species